UACGUAGGGGGCAAGCGUUAUCCGGAAUUACUGGGUGUAAAGGGUGAGUAGGCGGCAUGGUAAGCCAGAUGUGAAAGCCUUGGGCUUAACCCGAGGAUUGCAUUUGGAACUAUCAAGCUAGAGUACAGGAGAGGAAAGCGGAAUUCCUAGUGUAGCGGUGAAAUGCGUAGAUAUUAGGAAGAACACCAGUGGCGAAGGCGGCUUUCUGGACUGAAACUGACGCUGAGGCUCGAAAGCGUGGGGAGCAAACAGG
rnacentral:rRNA from 1 species